UCGGAAUUACUGGGCGUAAAGGGCGCGUAGGCGGUGUGUCAAGUCAGGCGUGAAAGCCCCGGGCUCAACCUGGGAACUGCGCUUGAGACUGGCACGCUCGAGUUCGGGAGAGGAUGGUGGAAUUCCCAGUGUAGAGGUGAAAUUCGUAGAUAUUGGGAAGAACACCGAUGGCGAAGGCAGCCAUCUGGACCGACACUGACGCUGAGGCGCGAAAGCGUGGGGAGCAAACAGG
rnacentral:rRNA from 1 species